rnacentral:rRNA from 1 species
CCCUUAGAUGUUCUGGGCUGCACGCGCGCUACACUGGUGCGUUCAGCGAGUUUAGCACCUUAACAGAUAUGUUUGGGUAAUCUUCUGAAAACGCACCGUGAUGGGGAUCGAUUAUUGUAAUUAUUAAUCGUCAACGAGGAAUUCCUAGUAAGUGUGAAUCAUCAGUUCGCGCUGAUUACGUCCCUGCCCUUUGUACACACCGCCCGUCGCUGCUACCGAUUGAGUGGUCCUGUGAAUUAUUCGGACCGGUGGACUGUGGGGAAACCCGCGGCCUGCUGGGAAGUCUUGUGAACCUUAUCACUUAGAGGAAGGAGAAGUCGUAACA